GAUGAACGCUGGCGGCGUGCCUAAUACAUGCAAGUCGAGCGAACAGACGAGGAGCUUGCUCCUUUGACGUUAGCGGCGGACGGGUGAGUAACACGUGGAUAACCUACCUAUAAGACUGGGAUAACUUCGGGAAACCGGAGCUAAUACCGGAUAACAUGUUGAACCGCAUGGUUCAACAGUGAAAGACGGUCUUGCUGUCACUUAUAGAUGGAUCCGCGCCGCAUUAGCUAGUUGGUAAGGUAACGGCUUACCAAGGCAACGAUGCGUAGCCGACCUGAGAGGGUGAUCGGCCACACUGGAACUGAGACACGGUCCAGACUCCGACGGGAGGCAGCAGUAGGGAAUCUUCCGCAAUGGGCGAAAGCCUGACGGAGCAACGCCGCGUGAGUGAAGAAGGUCUUCGGAUCGUAAAACUCUGUUAUUAGGGAAGAACAAAUGUGUAAGUAACUAUGCACGUCUUGACGGUACCUAAGCAGAAAGCCACGGCUAACUACGU
rnacentral:rRNA from 1 species